GAUGAAGAACGUAGCGAAAUGCGAUAAGUAAUGUGAAUUGCAGAAUUCAGUGAAUCAUCGAAUCUUUGAACGCACAUUGCGCCCGCCAGUAUUCUGGCGGGCAUGCCUGUUCGAGCGUCAUUUCAACCAUCAAGCCCCAGGCUUGUGUUGGGGACCUGCGGCUGCCGCAGGCCCUGAAAACCAGUGGCGGGCUCGCUGUCACACCGGGCGUAGUAGAUUUUAUCUCGCUCAGGGCGUGCUGCGGGUUCCGGCCGUUAAAAAGCCAUUUUUACCCAAGGUUGACCUCGGAUCAGGUAGGAAGACCCGCUGAACUUAAGCAUAUCAAUAAGCGGAGGA
rnacentral:misc_RNA from 1 species